UGGCUGCUGGCUGGCGAAGCAAAGCCGUGGAGAGAGGGAUUUGCAGCAGUCAUUGCUGAUCCACCUGGAGAAGAGGAAACACAAAUGAAGCUGACCACUGAAGUAAACCAAAGGGCCAUGUACCAUCAACUGUCCUGUGGGAAGGUUUCCAGCACAGAGGAUAGGCAAAGAAGGCAUCAAAGCCUGUCCAGCAGGCUCCAGAUGGACUAUCUCCUCCACCCACAGGUACUUUCUACCACCAGCUGACCUGGGCGAAGGGUGACAUUUUAUAGG